CUACGAUUAAUAUUUCACUGAAAUAACUGAAAAUGGAAAUAAUAAGACAGUAUUGGCAACAACGAUAGAGUAUGGGGAGAUUGCAGUGACACCGGAAAUGCUUCUGAUAUAUAAACACAUGCAGUGGACCGAACGCCCUGAUACCUCAAUUCAAUAUGAGCAGGAGAAUGUACUGCAGCAACAUGUUUAGAAUAAUUGUUCCUUGGUACGGAUGUAUUUAGAUUUUCAUUUUCUUCUCCAUGUAUUUCUACAUUUAAACUUUUUCUACAAUAAGCAUAUACAAUAAAUAAAGCAGUAGGUGAGUUAUUUAUAGGAAAAUUACUCAUCUGAUGGUUGAGGGCGUCUAGGGAGGGGCAUGAGUCCAUCAAUGAGAGCGAGGCUUACUGUUACAAAAGAAAGAUCCAAUCAAGGAUAUUUGACCUAAUCAUGGUUACUAGAUGGAGAUGCAGCCCAAUCAAGCUGUAAGUGAAUCACUGCAGAGGUGCACAAAACGGAGGCCUAAUUAUAAUCAAUUGUGUGAUCAUGGCUGAAGAAAGUUGGAUAAAAGUUUUUAGAAUUGUAAUUUUCCUAUUUCUAUAAAAUAUUGGUAUAAGAAAAUACUGUAAAACUCUACCACUUAAUUUUUCAAAUAAAGGCAUUCCAAUACCAUUUGGAGGACUAUGAAAGACAAAGGAAUCAGAGAGUGAUAUUUCAUUGAUCUACCCUCAAUAAAUACUUGUUCCAACUGGUAAAAGCAUUGCAGCUUAGUAGGUGUAGCCUAGAAGGAUUUGAACUUUAUUCCACAGGUGAUAGAAACUCGUUUAAUAGUGUUGAGUAAAGGAUAUGAAGUAGAUUUCAUUGUUAAUCAUCUGAAUAAUCACUUUAAUUCAGUAUUUUGCCACUAUAGACAUGUAUGUGUGGUAAGACACAUGAAUGUAUGUAUUUUAAUACGUUUGUUAUUUGUAUGUUAAUUAUUUAUGACUAUUUAAAAUAUUUUUAAAUUAUGUAAUUGACAUAAAGUAAAUAAAUUCUUAAUUAGGUUUUCUACCCAAGGCCAAAUAAUUCUUCUAAUGGAGGUGUUUUUUUUUUUCUUAAUAUAUUCCUGGACAUAGGGUAUCUAAGUGACAGAAGUGAUUUAUCUCUCAUUUCUGCUUAGGCCUAUUGUUAUUCUCUUCAGUAUAUUCUUUAGAGGUAAUCCUUUUAAUUUCUCCCCAA
rnacentral:lncRNA from 10 species